UACGUAGGUCCCGAGCGUUGUCCGGAUUUAUUGGGCGUAAAGCGAGCGCAGGUGGUUUAUUAAGUCUGGUGUAAAAGGCAGUGGCUCAACCAUUGUAUGCAUUGGAAACUGGUAGACUUGAGUGCAGGAGAGGAGAGUGGAAUUCCAUGUGUAGCGGUGAAAUGCGUAGAUAUAUGGAGGAACACCGGUGGCGAAAGCGGCUCUCUGGCCUGUAACUGACACUGAGGCUCGAAAACGUAGGGAGCAAACAGG
rnacentral:rRNA from 1 species